rnacentral:rRNA from 1 species
GACGAACCGUGCGAACGUUGUUCGGAUUCACUGGGCUUAAAGGGCGCGUAGGCGGACAAUCAAGUCAGGGGUGAAAGCCUCCAGCUCAACUGGAGAAGUGCCUUUGAUACUGACUGUCUCGAGGGAGGUAGGGGCAUGUGGAACUUCCGGUGGAGCGGUGAAAUGCGUAGAUAUCGGAAGGAACGCCGGUGGCGAAAGCGACGUGCUGGACCUCUUCUGACGCUGAGGCGCGAAAGCGUGGGGAGCGAACAGG